rnacentral:tRNA from 1 species
AGAAAUUAGGUUUAAUCUUCAAGCC